rnacentral:rRNA from 1 species
AUUGAACGCUGGCGGCAUGCCUUACACAUGCAAGUCGAACGGUAACAGGUCUUCGGAUGCUGACGAGUGGCGAACGGGUGAGUAAUACAUCGGAACGUGCCUAGUAGUGGGGGAUAACUACUCGAAAGAGUGGCUAAUACCGCAUGAGAUCUACGGAUGAAAGCAGGGGAUCGCAAGACCUUGUGCUACUAGAGCGGCCGAUGGCAGAUUAGGGAGUUGGUGGGAUAAAAGCUUACCAAGCCGACGAUCUGUAGCUGGUCUGAGAGGACGAUCAGCCACACUGGGACUGAGACACGGCCCAGACUCCUACGGGAGGCAGCAGUGGGGAAUUUCGGACAAUGGGCGAAAGCCUGAUCCAGCAAUGCCGCGUGCAGGAUGAAGGCCUUCGGGUUGUAAACUGCUUUUGUACGGAACGAAAAGCCCCGGGUUAAUACCCUGGGGUCAUGACGGUACCGUAAGAAUAAGCACCGGCUAACUACGUGCCAGCAGCCGCCGCCG